rnacentral:rRNA from 1 species
AGGGUUUGAUCAUGGCUCAGAACGAACGUUGGCGGCGUGGAUGAGGCAUGCAAGUCGAGGGAGAAAGCACCUUCGGGUGUGAGUAAACCGGCGAACGGGUGAGUAACACGUAAUCAAGCUACCCUUGAGACCUGGAUAACGGGGGGAAACUCCCGCUAAUACUGGAUGGUGCAAUCGGGUCGCAUGUUCUGAUUGCUAAAGGUGGGGAUCCUGCGGGACCUGUCACUCGAGGAGGCGAUUGCGGCCUAUCAGCUUGUUGGUGAGGUAACGGCUCACCAAGGCAACGACGGGUAACAGGCCUGAGAGGGUGGUCUGCCACACUGGGACUGAGACACUGCCCAGACUCCUACGGGAGGCUGCAGUCGAGAAUCUUCCGCAAUGGGCGAAAGCCUGACGGAGCGACGCCGCGUGAAGGACGAAGGCCCUAGGGUUGUAAACUUCUGUCGCAAAUUAUGAAUGCCGUACGGUGAAUAUCCGUGCGUUUGACGUAAGUUUGGAAGGAAGCACCGGCUAACUCUGUGCCAGCAGCCGCGGUAAUACAGAGGGUGCAAACGUUGUUCGGAAUCACUGGGCAUAAAGCGCGCGUAGGCGGCAAGGCCAGUGCAGAGUGAAAGCCCACGGCUCACCCGUGGAACUGCUUUGCAUACUGCCUUGCUAGAGUACGGUAGGGGAGAGCGGAACUCUUGGAGGAGCGGUGAAAUGCGUAGAUAUCAAGAGGAACACCAAAGGCGAAGGCAGCUCUCUGGUCCGUCACUGA